rnacentral:rRNA from 1 species
AUUGAACGCUGGCGGCAUGCCUUACACAUGCAAGUCGAACGGCAGCGGGGGAGAAGCUUGCUUUUCCUGCCGGCGAGUGGCGAACGGGUGAGUAAUACAUCGGAACGUGCCCUGUAGUGGGGGAUAACUAGUCGAAAGAUUAGCUAAUACCGCAUACGACCUGAGGGUGAAAGUGGGGGACCGCAAGGCCUCAUGCUAUAGGAGCGGCCGAUGUCUGAUUAGCUAGUUGGUGGGGUAAAGGCCGACCAAGGCGACGAUCAGUAGCUGGUCUGAGAGGACGAUCAGCCACACCGGGACUGAGACACGGCCCAGACUCCUACGGGAGGCAGCAGUGGGGAAUUUUGGACAAGGGGCGAAAGCCUGAUCCAGCAAUGCCGCGUGUGUGAAGAAGGCCUUCGGGUUGUAAAGCACUUUUGUCCGGAAAGAAAUGGCUCUGGUUAAUACCUGGGGUCGAUGACGGUACCGGAAGAAUAAGGACCGGCUAACUACGUGCCAGCCGCCGCGGUAA